CCUACGGGUGGCAGCAGUGGGGGAUAUUGGACAAUGGGGGAAACCCUGAUCCAGCGACGCCGCGUGAGUGAAGAAGUCUUUCGGGAUGUAAAGCUCUGUCAGCAGGGAAGAAAGAAAUGCCGUUACCUGACCAAGAAGCCCCGGCUAACUACGUGCCAGCAGCCGCGGUAAUACGUAGGGGGCAAGCGUUAUCCGGAAUUACUGGGUGUAAAGGGGGCGUAGACGGUGAUGCAAGUCUGGAGUGAAAGGCGGGGGCCCAACCCCCGGACUGCUCUGGAAACUGUGGAACUUGAGUGCAGGAGAGGUAAGCGGAAUUCCUAGUGUAGCGGUGAAAUGCGUAGAUAUUAGGAGGAACACCAGUGGCGAAGGCGGCUUACUGGACGGUAACUGACGUUGAGGCGCGAAAGCGUGGGGAGCAAACAGGAUUAGAUACCCGUGUAGUC
rnacentral:rRNA from 1 species